rnacentral:rRNA from 2 species
AAAUUGAAGAGUUUGAUCAUGGCUCAGAUUGAACGCUGGCGGCAGGCCUAACACAUGCAAGUCGAACGGUAACAGGAAACAGCUUGCUGUUUCGCUGACGAGUGGCGGACGGGUGAGUAAUGUCUGGGAAACUGCCUGAUGGAGGGGGAUAACUACUGGAAACGGUAGCUAAUACCGCAUAACGUCGCAAGACCAAAGAGGGGGACCUUCGGGCCUCUUGCCAUCGGAUGUGCCCAGAUGGGAUUAGCUUGUUGGUGGGGUAACGGCUCACCAAGGCGACGAUCCCUAGCUGGUCUGAGAGGAUGACCAGCCACACUGGAACUGAGACACGGUCCAGACUCCUACGGGAGGCAGCAGUGGGGAAUAUUGCACAAUGGGCGCAAGCCUGAUGCAGCCAUGCCGCGUGUAUGAAGAAGGCCUUCGGGUUGUAAAGUACUUUCAGCGGGGAGGAAGGGAGUAAAGUUAAUACCUUUGCUCAUUGACGUUACCCGCAGAAGAAGCACCGGCUAACUCCGUGCCAGCAGCCGCGGUAAUACGGAGGGUGCAAGCGUUAAUCGGAAUUACUGGGCGUAAAGCGCACGCAGGCGGUUUGUUAAGUCAGAUGUGAAAUCCCCGGGCUCAACCUGGGAACUGCAUCUGAUACUGGCAAGCUUGAGUCUCGUAGAGGGGGGUAGAAUUCCAGGUGUAGCGGUGAAAUGCGUAGAGAUCUGGAGGAAUACCGGUGGCGAAGGCGGCCCCCUGGACGAAGACUGACGCUCAGGUGCGAAAGCGUGGGGAGCAAACAGGAUUAGAUACCCUGGUAGUCCACGCCGUAAACGAUGUCGACUUGGAGGUUGUGCCCUUGAGGCGUGGCUUCCGGAGCUAACGCGUUAAGUCGACCGCCUGGGGAGUACGGCCGCAAGGUUAAAACUCAAAUGAAUUGACGGGGGCCCGCACAAGCGGUGGAGCAUGUGGUUUAAUUCGAUGCAACGCGAAGAACCUUACCUGGUCUUGACAUCCACGGAAGUUUUCAGAGAUGAGAAUGUGCCUUCGGGAACCGUGAGACAGGUGCUGCAUGGCUGUCGUCAGCUCGUGUUGUGAAAUGUUGGGUUAAGUCCCGCAACGAGCGCAACCCUUAUCCUUUGUUGCCAGCGGUCCGGCCGGGAACUCAAAGGAGACUGCCAGUGAUAAACUGGAGGAAGGUGGGGAUGACGUCAAGUCAUCAUGGCCCUUACGACCAGGGCUACACACGUGCUACAAUGGCGCAUACAAAGAGAAGCGACCUCGCGAGAGCAAGCGGACCUCAUAAAGUGCGUCGUAGUCCGGAUUGGAGUCUGCAACUCGACUCCAUGAAGUCGGAAUCGCUAGUAAUCGUGGAUCAGAAUGCCACGGUGAAUACGUUCCCGGGCCUUGUACACACCGCCCGUCACACCAUGGGAGUGGGUUGCAAAAGAAGUAGGUAGCUUAACCUUCGGGAGGGCGCUUACCACUUUGUGAUUCAUGACUGGGGUGAAGUCGUAACAAGGUAACCGUAGGGGAACCUGCAGUUGGAUCACCUCCUUA